GGUGAAAAACAAAUAUACUUUAUUGUAUUUCAAGUAUAUUUAACUUUGCAAUAGUACAUUACAAAUAUACUUACAAAGGAAUGUACUUUCUUUAAACAUAUUUAAAGUAUGCUUACAACAUAUUUGCGCGUAUUUUUUACAAUUAAACUUUUAACAUACUUCAAAAUAAUUAUACUUUAGUAUAUUUUCUAAAAGUAUACUUUAGAAAAAUAUACUUAAAGUUAAAGUUUUGUGCAAUUUUUAAAGUAUACUAAAUUUAAACUUAUUUUAAAAUGUAUUUUAGGUAUACUUUAUCGGUAUGCUUAAAGUUAUCAUUAUAAUAAUGCACUGACAGUAUAUUUCCAAAAUACAUUAUUUAGUAUUCUUUAGAAACAGUAUAUUUUAAGCACAUUUUGAAAGUAUAUGGGGUGUACAAAUGUAUAUUAUUUUAUGGAGAAAUAACGUGGGCUUAAAAUUACGAGAGAGCAGUAUGUUCUGUUACAUUUUAUAUUGUAGAUGUAUACAUUUGUAAUAUACUAUUAACAUAAUAAGGUACACUUUAACUUCACUAUAGUCAAGCAUUGGAUAAACCAAUUAACUGUGUUUUACCACAAAAUAACCAUGGUUUUGCUAAUAAUAAUCAACACACCAAAAAAAAACAUGGUUACUAAACUUUAACCACAAAAAAAAACAUUCAUUUUCGUAAGGGGAAUAUGAGUGUUUGUUUUUUUGUAGUUUUUGAGUCAAUUGCAUACCGCUUUUAGCUGUACACAUUAAUUAACUUAAACAGUUUUCGUAAAUGCAUUUCAGAGAAAAGUGAAUUCUGAGAUUUGAAUAAUGCAUCUGACGUGUAGGAUGACGUCACGACGCACGUAUUUUGAUUUUUACCAGUUGUUCAAGACAGACGGAUUCAGUCCCAAGAAGCUAAAGUUUUUCAAAGACAUUUGUAGGGAGGACUUUGCAGCUAAUGAUUUCCUACGGCUGAACCAAAACCUGCCAGACUAAAGUUGAUUUGGGAGAGAAAGACGUUGUAAACUAGGGCUGCAUGAUAAAU